rnacentral:rRNA from 1 species
ACGUAGGGGGCGAGCGUUGUCCGGAAUUACUGGGCGUAAAGGGUGCGUAGGUGGCCUUUUAAGUUGGAUGUGAAAUCCCCGGGCUUAACUUGGGUGGUGCAUCUAAUACUGGAGGGCUAGAGUGCAGGAGAGGGAAGCGGAAUUCCUAGUGGGGCGGUGAAAGGCGUAGAUAUUAGGAGGAACACCAGUGGCGAAGGCAGCAAACUGGACUGGAACUGACACUGAGGCACGUAAGCGUGGGGAGGAAGGAG